UGCAUUUUUGUUGGUGAUUCUGCUGUUUAAAAUGCUCCCCCCUCGCCCCGCAAAGAACUGAAGCACUAUUCAGUGUUAAGUGCAAGACGGCUGCAAGGUGCCCAAGGGAGAAACACGUGUAUGAGAGAGAGAAGCUUCGUUCAGGCGUGACUGUGAGCUCUGAGUUCAGUGUUAAGGACUUAGUACCAAGUAAGGUAUCUUCACACAGAAACACACAGAAAACAAGGUGAUAUACUGACUGAUUGAUGGAAAUGUGACCUGAGACUCACAGGAGUCCACCUCUGUCCCUCCCUUCCAAGUGACGGUUGAGCGGUCAGCGUCUGCAGCUAACUCAGCGUUCACCCAGACCUGACGACUUCCCGGGACAGGACUACUGCACCACCCUUGUACAACACAGGGGAAAAUGUACAAGCCACCCCAUGAGCCUGGGGUCCUGCCACAUGGAGACCACAUGAGGCCAGCCGCCCCCGACAGAAGUGCUCUUGUGCCUUCUCCUCUGACCUGAGGUUGAAGAGAAUGGAAACAAAACUACUAGCUCUGGACACGGUUAGACAAGGCUGAGCUAGCUCCCAGCGCGAGUGGGAGAUGCCAAUGUUAAUAAAAUGUCACCUCAAUUACUUUUGCCAGCGUUAUAAAAAGAAACUGGAGACUUCCUCCCUUGGGCAUCUUCUGUUAAUUGCCAUUUAUAAAAGUUCUGUUUGCUAGGCCUGGAAUAUGCAUUAUUUUCCCUUUGAAAACAAAAAGAAACUUCUAAAAUAUCAAUCAGCAUUCCAAAUGGCAAAGUGAUUUGUUUUCCAACUCACACUCUCGGAUCAGCUUGCGAGUCUGUCUGAAACGCAGGCAUCUGGUAACAAUUUGUGACAAUAUAAAAUCAAAGCUGAACUCCCGUGUAAA